CCUACGGGAGGCAGCAGUAGGGAAUCUUCCACAAUGGGCGAAAGCCUGAUGGAGCAACGCCGCGUGGGUGAAGAAGGUCUUCGGAUCGUAAAACCCUGUUGUUAGAGAAGAAAGUGCGUGAGAGUAACUGUUCACGUUUCGACGGUAUCUAACCAGAAAGCCACGGCUAACUACGUGCCAGCAGCCGCGGUAAUACGUAGGUGGCAAGCGUUAUCCGGAUUUAUUGGGCGUAAAUGGAACGCAGGCGGUCUUUUAAGUCUGAUGUGAAAGGCUUCGGCUUAACCGGAGUAGUGCAUGGGAAACUGGGAGACUUGAGUGCAGAAGAGGAGAGUGGAACUCCAUGUGUAGCGGUGAAAUGCGUAGAUAUAUGGAAGAACACCAGUGGCGAAAGCGGCUCUCUGGUCUGUAACUGACGCUGAGGUUCGAAAGCGUGGGUAGCAAACAGGAUUAGAUACCCUAGUAGUC
rnacentral:rRNA from 1 species